rnacentral:rRNA from 1 species
AACGAACGCUGGCGGCAGGCCUAACACAUGCAAGUCGAGCGCACCUUCGGGUGAGCGGCGGACGGGUUAGUAACGCGUGGGAACGUACCCUUCUCUACGGAAUAGCCUCGGGAAACUGAGAGUAAUACCGUAUACGCCCUUUGGGGGAAAGAUUUAUCGGAGAAGGAUCGGCCCGCGUUGGAUUAGGUAGUUGGUGGGGUAAUGGCCUACCAAGCCUACGAUCCAUAGCUGGUUUGAGAGGAUGAUCAGCAACACUGGGACUGAGACACGGCCCAGACUCCUACGGGAGGCAGCAGUGGGGAAUCUUAGACAAUGGGGGAAACCCUGAUCUAGCCAUGCCGCGUGAGUGAUGAAGGCCUUAGGGUCGUAAAGCUCUUUCGCUGGGGAAGAUAAUGACUGUACCCAGUAAAGAAACCCCGGCUAACUCCGUG